rnacentral:rRNA from 1 species
AGAUAGUGACGGUACCUGCAGAAGCAGCUGCGGCUAACUACGUGCCAGCAGCCGCGGUAAUACGUAGGCAGCAAGCGUUGUUCGGAGUUACUGGGCGUAAAGGGUGUGUAGGCGGUUCUUUAAGUUUGGUGUGAAAUCUCCCGGCUUAACCGGGAGGGUGCGCCGAAUACUGAGGGACUAGAGUACGGGAGAGGAAAGUGGAAUUCCUGGUGUAGCGGUGAAAUGCGUAGAUAUCAGGAGGAACACCGGUGGUGUAGACGGCUUUCUGGACCGUAACUGACGCUGAGACCCGAAAGCGUGGGUAGCAAACAGGAUUAGAUACCCUGGUAGUCCACGCCCUAAACGAUGCAUAUUUGGUGUGGGCAGUUCAUUCUGUCCGUGCCGGAGCUAACGCGUUAAAUAUGCCGCCUGGGGAGUACAGUCGCAAGGCUGAAACUCAAAGGAAUUGACGG